rnacentral:rRNA from 1 species
CCAGACUCCUACGGGAGGCAGCAGUGGGGAAUAUUGGGCAAUGGGCGCAAGCCUGACCCAGCAAUGCCGCGUGAAGGAAGAAGGCCUUCGGGUUGUAAACUUCUUUUAUCAGGGACGAAGGAUGUGACGGUACCUGAUGAAUAAGCUCCGGCUAACUACGUGCCAGCAGCCGCGGUAAUACGUAGGGAGCAAGCGUUAUCCGGAUUUACUGGGUGUAAAGGGCGUGUAGGCGGGAGUGCAAGUCAGAUGUGAAAACUAUGGGCUCAACCCAUAGCCUGCAUUUGAAACUGUACUUCUUGAGUGCUGGAGAGGCAAUCGGAAUUCCGUGUGUAGCGGUGAAAUGCGUAGAUAUACGGAGGAACACCAGUGGCGAAGGCGGAUUGCUGGACAGUAACUGACGCUGAGGCGCGAAAGCGUGGGGAGCAAACAGGAUUAGAUACCCCCGUACCA